GAGACACAUUUCUUUCCUUUCAAAUGAGACCCUGUGAUUCAAACAGCCAAUACUUCCAGAUUGUGAGAAACUUGAAGGGGGUAUAGACGUUUCCCUCCUGAAACUGCACCUAGAGAGAUGCCAUGAUGUGUGACACCAGACCUUCUGAACGGUAGUCAAAUAUUUUGCAUGGCUGAGAAGGAAAAAAGUGGUCCAGAGCAGGCUAGAGAGCCAAUUGCAGAAAAGGUCCUAGGGGCAGGGAAGCAGGUAAACCAUCAAUGGUGAAGAGGACUAUAAUAAAGACUCAUACAAACUACAGCAAUUACGGAAGGGGAGCCCCUAAUCUGGAUGAGGGUAUCAAGGCAGCUCAGUGACUUCCUCAUGGCUCAGACUGGUAAUGACAGCUGGGACAUGCAGAGCAGAGUGAUGGUGAAGAGCUUCGCUUCUGGAACCACAGAAUCCCUUGGCUUCCCAGAUGGCAAGGAUCUGAAUCGUAACUUCACUACUCAUGAGCUAGGCAACACUGUGAACAUCACCUGGCUCCCCCAGCCCUCCAGCUCUUCAUCUUAUUGUAAUAGGUUCUUUUAGGUUGUUGUGUCGGUCAAAUAAAAUAAUUGAUAAAAAAAAAGUACUUAUGGUU
rnacentral:lncRNA from 12 species